UACGUAGGGUGCAAGCGUUAAUCGGAAUUACUGGGCGUAAAGCGUGCGCAGGCGGUGAUGUAAGACAGAUGUGAAAUCCCCGGGCUCAACCUGGGAACUGCAUUCGAGACUGAAUAGCUAGGGUACGGUAGAGGGAAGUGGAAUUUCCGGUGUAGCGGUGAAAUGCGUAGAUAUCGGAAGGAACAUCAGUGGCGAAAGCGACACGCUGGGCCGUACCUGACGCUAAAGCGCGACAGCAUGGGGAGCAAACGGG
rnacentral:rRNA from 1 species